rnacentral:rRNA from 1 species
AAAUUGAAGAGUUUGAUCAUGGCUCAGAUUGAACGCUGGCGGCAGGCCUAACACAUGCAAGUCGAACGGUAACAGGAAACAGCUUGCUGUUUCGCUGACGAGUGGCGGACGGGUGAGUAAUGUCUGGGAAACUGCCUGAUGGAGGGGGAUAACUACUGGAAACGGUAGCUAAUACCGCAUAACGUCGCAAGACCAAAGAGGGGGACCUUCGGGCCUCUUGCCAUCGGAUGUGCCCAGAUGGGAUUAGCUUGUUGGUGGGGUAACGGCUCACCAAGGCGACGAUCCCUAGCUGGUCUGAGAGGAUGACCAGCCACACUGGAACUGAGACACGGUCCAGACUCCUACGGGAGGCAGCAGUGGGGAAUAUUGCACAAUGGGCGCAAGCCUGAUGCAGCCAUGCCGCGUGUAUGAAGAAGGCCUUCGGGUUGUAAAGUACUUUCAGCGGGGAGGAAGGGAGUAAAGUUAAUACCUUUGCUCAUUGACGUUACCCGCAGAAGAAGCACCGGCUAACUCCGUGCCAGCAGCCGCGGUAAUACGGAGGGUGCAAGCGUUAAUCGGAAUUACUGGGCGUAAAGCGCACGCAGGCGGUUUGUUAAGUCAGAUGUGAAAUCCCCGGGCUCAACCUGGGAACUGCAUCUGAUACUGGCAAGCUUGAGUCUCGUAGAGGGGGGUAGAAUUCCAGGUGUAGCGGUGAAAUGCGUAGAGAUCUGGAGGAAUACCGGUGGCGAAGGCGGCCCCCUGGACGAAGACUGACGCUCAGGUGCGAAAGCGUGGGGAGCAAACAGGAUUAGAUACCCUGGUAGUCCACGCCGUAAACGAUGUCGACUUGGAGGUUGUGCCCUUGAGGCGUGGCUUCCGGAGCUAACGCGUUAAGUCGACCGCCUGGGGAGUACGGCCGCAAGGUUAAAACUCAAAUGAAUUGACGGGGGCCCGCACAAGCGGUGGAGCAUGUGGUUUAAUUCGAUGCAACGCGAAGAACCUUACCUGGUCUUGACAUCCACGGAAGUUUUCAGAGAUGAGAAUGUGCCUUCGGGAACCGUGAGAC